GGAAUCUUGCGCAAUGCGCGAAAGCGUGACGCAGCAACGCCGCGUGGGGGAAGAAGGCCUUCGGGUUGUAAACCCCUUUCAGUUGGGACGAAGCUUCGACGGUUAAUAGCCGGCUGGAGUGACGGUACCUUCACAAGAAGCCCCGGCUAACUACGUGCCAGCAGCCGCGGUAAUACGUAGGGGGCAAGCGUUGUCCGGAAUCAUUGGGCGUAAAGCGCGUGUAGGCGGCUCGGUAAGUCCGCUGUGAAAGUCCGGGGCUCAACCCUGGGAUGCCGGUGGAUACUGCCGAGCUCGAGUCCGGAAGAGGCGAGUGGAAUUCCUGGUGUAGCGGUGAAAUGCGCAGAUAUCAGGAGGAACACCAAUGGCGAAGGCAGCUCGCUGGGACGUGACUGACGCUGAGACGCGAAAGCGUGGGGAGCAAACAG
rnacentral:rRNA from 1 species